rnacentral:rRNA from 1 species
UACAGAGACUGCAAGCGUUAUUCGGAUUCACUGGGCGUAAAGGGUGCGCAGGCGGCCAAGUGUGUGAGGCGUGAAAGCCCGAUGCUCAACAUCGGAAUUGCACCUCAAACUACAUGGCUAGAGCAUUGGAGAGGGUAGCGGAAUUCACGGUGUAGCAGUGAAAUGCGUAGAUAUCUGGAGGAACACCGGUGGCGAAGGCGGCAUCCUGGACCGGCAUUGACGCUGAGGCGCGAAAGCUAGGGGAGCAAACGGG